rnacentral:rRNA from 1 species
AGAUUGAACGCUGGCGGCAUGCCUUACACAUGCAAGUCGAACGGUAGAGUAGCAAUACUUGAGAGUGGCGAACGGGUGAGUAAUAUAUCGGAACGUGCCCAGUCGUGGGGGAUAACGUAGAGAAAUUUACGCUAAUACCGCAUACGAUCUAAGGAUGAAAGCGGGGGAUCGCAAGACCUCGCGCGAUUGGAGCGGCUGAUAUCAGAUUAGGUUGUUGGUGAGGUAAAAGCUCACCAAGCCGACGAUCUGUAGCUGGUUGAGAGAACGACCAGCCACACGUGGGACUGAGACCACGGCCCAG